GAUCAUGGCUCAGGACGAGCGCUGGCGGCACGCUUAACACAUGCAAGUCGAACGGAGAAUUUUGGUUACUGAGAAUUCUUAGUGGCGGACGGGUGAGUAACACGUGAGCAACCUACCUCAGAGAGAGGGAUAGCUUCUGGAAACGGAUGGUAAUACCUCAUAACAUAACUGAAAGGCAUCUUUUGGUUAUCAAAGAUUUAUCACUCUGAGAUGGGCUCGCGUCUGAUUAGAUAGUUGGUGAGGUAACGGCUCACCAAGUCGACGAUCAGUAGCCGGACUGAGAGGUUGAACGGCCACAUUGGGACUGAGACACGGCCCAGACUCCUACGGGAGGCAGCAGUGGGGAAUAUUGCACAAUGGGGGAAACCCUGAUGCAGCGAUGCCGCGUGGAGGAAGAAGGUUUUCGGAUUGUAAACUCCUGUCUUAAAGGACGAUAAUGACGGUACUUUAGGAGGAAGCUCCGGCUAACUACGUGCCAGCCGCAGC
rnacentral:rRNA from 1 species